rfam:Schistosoma curassoni strain Dakar, Senegal genome assembly, scaffold: SCTD_scaffold0000067
AUCUAACUGACGAGUCCCAAAUGGGACGAAACGCACAUCUUAAAU